rnacentral:rRNA from 1 species
AGAGUUUGAUCCUGGCUCAGAUUGAACGCUGGCGGCAUGCCUUACACAUGCAAGUCGAACGGUAACGCGGGGGCAACCCUGGCGACGAGUGGCGAACGGGUGAGUAAUACAUCGGAACAUAUCCAGUAGCGGGGGAUAACCUAUCGAAAGAUGGACUAAUACCGCAUACGAUCUACGGAUGAAAGCAGGGGACCGCAAGGCCUUGCACUAUUGGAGUGGCCGAUGUCGGAUUAGCUAGUUGGUGGGGUAAAAGCUUACCAAGGCGACGAUCCGUAGCUGGUCUGAGAGGACGAUCAGCCACACUGGAACUGAGACACGGUCCAGACUCCUACGGGAGGCAGCAGUGGGGAAUUUUGGACAAUGGGCGCAAGCCUGAUCCAGCCAUGCCGCGUGAGUGAAGAAGGCCUUCGGGUUGUAAAGCUCUUUCGGUGAAGACGAAACGGUUCAUGCUAAUAACGUGAACUAAUGACGGUACUCACAGAAGAAGCACCGGCUAACUACGUGCCAGCAGCCGCGGUAAUACGUAGGGUGCAGGCGUUAAUCGGAAUUACUGGGCGUAAAGCGUGCGCAGGCGGUUUGCUAAGACAGGUGUGAAAUCCCCGGGCUUAACCUGGGAAUUGCGCUUGUAACUGGCAAGCUAGAGUGUGGCAGAGGGGGGUGGAAUUCACGUGUAGCAGUGAAAUGCGUAGAUAUGUGGAGGAACACCGAUGGCGAAGGCAGCCCCCUGGGUUAACACUGACGCUCAUGCACGAAAGCGUGGGGAGCAAACAGGAUUAGAUACCCUGGUAGUCCACGCCCUAAACUAUGUCAACUAGUUGUCGGGGAAGAAAUUCCUUGGUAACGAAGCUAACGCGUGAAGUUGACCGCCUGGGGAGUACGGCCGCAAGGUUAAAACUCAAAGGAAUUGACGGGGACCCGCACAAGCGGUGGAUUAUGUGGAUUAAUUCGAUGCAACGCGAAAAACCUUACCUACCCUUGACAUGCUAGGAAGCCCGCAGAGAUGUGGGUGUGCCCGAAAGGGAACCUAGACACAGGUGCUGCAUGGCUGUCGUCAGCUCGUGUCGUGAGAUGUUGGGUUAAGUCCCGCAACGAGCGCAACCCUUGCCAUUAGUUGCUACAUUCAGUUGGGCACUCUAAUGGGACCGCCGGUGACAAACCGGAGGAAGGUGGGGAUGACGUCAAGUCCUCAUGGCCCUUAUGGGUAGGGCUUCACACGUAAUACAAUGGUCGGUACAGAGGGCUGCCAACCCGCAAGGGGGAGCUAAUCCCAGAAAGCCGAUCGUAGUCCGGAUUGUAGUCUGCAACUCGACUGCAUGAAGCCGGAAUCGCUAGUAAUCGCGGAUCAGCAUGUCGCGGUGAAUACGUUCCCGGGUCUUGUACACACCGCCCGUCACACCAUGGGAGUGGGUUCCACCAGAAGUAGUUAGCCUAACCGCAAGGAGGGCGAUUACCACGGUGAGAUUCAUGACUGGGGUGAAGUCGUAACAAGGUA